rnacentral:rRNA from 1 species
UACAGAGGGUGCGAGCGUUGUCCGGAAUCACUGGGCGUAAAGGGCGCGUAGGCGGUUUGGCAGGUCUAUGGUGAAAGCUCGCCGCUCAACGGCGAGUCGGCCACGGAUACUGCUGAACUCGAGCACUGUAGAGGCAGGUGGAAUUCCGGGUGUAGCGGUGGAAUGCGUAGAGAUCCGGAAGAACAUCGGUGGCGAAGGCGGCCUGCUGGGCAGUAGCUGACGCUGAGGCGCGACAGCGUGGGGAGCAAACAGG